GAUGAACGCUGGCGGCGUGCCUAACACAUGCAAGUCGAACGGAGUCCAGCCUUUAAGACCUUCGGGUCAAAGAGGGGAAGACUGAGUGGCGGACGGGUGAGUAACACGUGGGCAACCUGGCUCAUAGAGGGGGAUAACAGAGAGAAAUUUCUGCUAAUACCGCAUAAGCACACACUGCCGCAUGGCAGAGGGUGAAAAGAGAAUCGCUAUGAGAUGGACCCGCGUCUGAUUAGCCAGUUGGCAGGGUAAGAGCCCACCAAAGCGACGAUCAGUAGCCGAUCUGAGGGGAUGAACGGCCACAUUGGGACUGAGACACGGCCCAAACUCCUACGGGAGGCAGCAGUGGGGGAUAUUGCACAAUGGGGGGAACCCUGAUGCAGCGACGCCGCGUGAGUGAAGAAGUAUUUCGGUAUGUAAAGCUCUAUCAGCAGGGAAGAUAAUGACAGUACCUGAAUAAGAAGCCCCGGCUAACUACGUG
rnacentral:rRNA from 1 species